ACGAACGCUGGCGGCAUGCUUAACACAUGCAAGUCGAACGAAGGCCCUAGCUUGCUAGGUGUCCUUAGUGGCGCACGGGUGAGUAACGCGUGGGAACCUGCCCAAGAGCGGGGAACAACCAUUGGAAACGAUGGCUAAUACCGCAUACGCCCUCCGGGGGAAAGGCUUCGGCCACUCAUGGAUGGUCCCGCGUCUGAUUAGCUUGUUGGUAAGGUAACGGCUUACCAAGGCGACGAUCAGUAGCUGGUCUGAGAGGAUGAUCAGCCACACUGGGACUGAGACACGGCCCAGACUCCUACGGGAGGCAGCAGUGGGGAAUAUUGGACAAUGGGGGAAACCCUGAUCCAGCAAUGCCGCGUGAGUGAAGAAGGCCUUAGGGUUGUAAAACUCUUUCAACUGUGAAGAUGAUGACGGUAGCAGUAGAAGAAGCUCCGGCUAACUCCGUGCCAGCAGCCGCGGUAAUACGGAGGGAGCUAGCGUUGUUCGGAAUUACUGGGCGUAAAGAGCACGUAGGUGGCGAAGAUAGUCAGUGGUGAAAGGCCUGGGCUCAACCCAGGAACUGCCAUUGAUACUGCUUUGCUAGAGUCCGGGAGAGGAUAGCGGAAUUUCCAGUGUAGAGGUGAAAUUCGUAGAUAUUGGGAAAGAACACCAGUUGCGAAGGCGGCUAUCUGGACCGGUACUGACACUGAGGUGCGAAAGCGUGGGGAGCGAACAGGAUUAGAUACCCUGGUAGUCCACGCCGUAAACGAUGAGUGCUAGUUGUUGGGGUCUUAGACUUCAGUGACGUAGCUAACGCGUUAAGCACUCCGCCUGGGGAGUACGGCCGCAAGGUUAAAACUCAAAGGAAUUGACGGAGGCCCGCACAAGCGGUGGAGCAUGUGGUUUAAUUCGACGCAACGCGCAGAACCUUACCAGCCCUUGACAUACCAAUCGCGAUUUCCAGAGAUGGAUUUCUUCAGUUCGGCUGGAUUGGAUACAGGUGCUGCAUGGCUGUCGUCAGCUCGUGUCGUGAGAUGUUGGGUUAAGUCCCGCAACGAGCGCAACCCUCGCCCUUAGUUACCAUCAUUUAGUUGGGUACUCUAGGGGGACUGCCGGUGACAAGCCGGAGGAAGGUGGGGAUGACGUCAAGUCCUCAUGGCCCUUAUGGGCUGGGCUACACACGUGCUACAAUGGCAAUGACAGUGGGCAGCAACCUCGCGAGAGGAAGCUAAUCUCUAAAAAUUGUCUCAGUUCGGAUUGUUCUCUGCAACUCGAGAGCAUGAAGUCGGAAUCGCUAGUAAUCGCGUAUCAGCAUGACGCGGUGAAUACGUUCCCGGGCCUUGUACUCACCGC
rnacentral:rRNA from 1 species